CUCUCCUCUUCUCUCUCAUCCAACUCAACAAAAAUAUAAUAUUUUAAUUAUUAUAGCAUACUAACUGUGCCUUAUUAUACUUGCCUUGAUAAGCCGGUUUGGGGCCGUCAGACAAUCGAUGUAGGGCACCGGUUGCGAUUCGCUAUGAAAACGCACCAUACACAACAAGCUCGUCGGUCCAAGACAUGUCACACCUGUAACAAUGUACCUUCAAGCAUAGUCGUACUCUUUACUCACUAUUUUAUCCACCUCGGUAGAAAAGACAAAUGUUCUGACAUUUGUGGUUCUCCUUUUUCCCUAAGAAUAAACAAAUUUGUUCAUAUCCACGACAAGGAGUGAGCUUCCUUUGGUCAGGGCGCUGACGGUGGAUCUGCUCUAGGAUGCAAAGCAGAUGUGAUCUGACGAACUGAAGCCUAGAGUUGUCACCGCCUACAAUAUAUAUGAUGUCGGGUAGAUGAAGACGUGGCUAGACCAUGUCGGCAAGAACGCACAAUUCGACGGUUCGAAUUCGUAGCAUGCCCACCAUCUAAACUCAGCGCGGCUUGUUUAGAGCAUACAUUUUUUGACAAAAUAUAUAAAAGCAGGAUACUUUUAGCAAUUGCUUGCCCGUGCCUCCUGCGUCACUGCUGGGGUGACUCCGAAGGUACCCCGAACCGCCAAAAAAAAAACUUGAACCAUUGGAAUCCUCGCCAUCAUCGGAGGGGGCUUCCAGGGAUGGACGGUGGUGGCGGGGUUGCUCCCCCGUUACUCUCCUCCCUCCCCCAAACCACGUUCAGAUUUGAUGGUAAGGACUCCCUAUGAUGCCCUUAGACCAAGUACAAUAGUAUAGCCAGCUGUUGGUUAUAAGCUAUUGUCAUGUCAUCUAUAACCCAUCUUAUAGCUAAUAUGUACAAUAGUUCAUUACAAAAGUGUACUAUUUUUUUAUUAUAUGGUUCAUCUUUCAUACUCACAAAAUGUCUAGAAGCACGUACUAGAGCUGGCUCUUAGUUAAGAGCCCGCUUAUCUUCUCUCUCCUCUUCUCUUUCC
rnacentral:lncRNA from 1 species